rnacentral:tmRNA from 1 species
GGGGGCGUACCGGUUUCGACGGGGAUGUUGCAGUAGGGAUAGCGGGCAGCGGGGCGAGGCGCUUUAAACACAGCACUUAUAAAUUAACUAACAACACAGAAUACAGAGCAACAGCUCUUGCUGCGUAAUUAAACGCAGCCGUCCACUCCGGAGGGACUACGGACCGGAGUCGGGUGUCAAGAAACCCGCUUAGUUCGGGGAGUAGUGAACGUGAACACGGUAAGCUUUGCCCGUGUCACGCAUAAUGAAGCUACCGAAGCAUGCAGCCUGUUUGCCGGCGUCAUGACAAGGGAAAUUUUCGGCUAAGCCGAAAGAAAAGACAAACUGCGCCCGGAGAAGUCUGUAUGAAUGCGUUUUCGGACAGGGGUUCAACUCCCCUCGCCUCCAC